rnacentral:rRNA from 1 species
AUUGAACGCUAGCGGGAUGCUUUACACAUGCAAGUCGAACGAGUGGCGGACGGGUGAGUAAUAUAUCGUAACGUGCCCAGUAGCGGGGGAUAACUACUCGAAAGCGUGGCUAAUACCGCAUACUCUUGGAGCGGCCGAUAUCGGAUUCGCUAGUUGGUGGGGUAAAGGCUCCCCAAGUCAACGAUCCGUAGCGGGUUUGAGAGGAGGACCAGCCACACUGGGACGGAGACACGGCCCAGACUCCUACGGGAGGAAGCAGUGGGGAAUUUUGGACAAGGGGGGAAGCCCUGAUGCAGCCAUCCCGCGUGUAUGAGAAGGCCUUCGGGUUGUAAAGUACUUUUGGCAGAGAAGCGGUAUCUGCAGAAUAAGCACCGGCUAACUACGUGCCAGCAGCCGCGGUAAUUC